GCCUGGGUGGCUCAGUGGGUUAAGCAUCUGACUUCAGCUCAGGUCAUGAUCUCACGGUCUGUGAGUUCGAGCCCCGCGUCGGGCU
rnacentral:tRNA from 1 species